rnacentral:rRNA from 1 species
AUACGUAGGGGGCAAGCGUUGUCCGGAAUGAUUGGGCGUAAAGGGCGCGUAGGCGGCCCGGUAAGUCUGAAGUGAAAGUCCUGGCUUCAAGUUGGGAAUUGCUUUGGAUACUGUCGGGCUUGAGUGCAGGAGAGGUAAGUGGAAUUCCCAGUGUAGCGGUGAAAUGCGUAGAGAUUGGGAGGAACACCAGUGGCGAAGGCGACUUACUGGACUGUAACUGACGCUGAGGCGCGAAAGUGUGGGGAGCAAACAGGAUUAGAUACCCUGGUAGUCCACACUGUAAACGAUGAAUGCUAGGUGUAGGGGGUAUCGACCCCUUCUGUGCCGCAGUUAACACAAUAAGCAUUCCGCCUGGGGAGUACGGCCGCAAGGUUGAAACUCAAAUGAAUUGGCGGGG